UACGUAGGUCUCAAGCGUUAUCCGGAUUUACUGGGCGUAAAGUAUCCGUAGCUUGAUAUAUAAGUCUGUUUUCAAAUCUUACGAUUCAAUCGUAAAAAGGGGAUGGAUACUGUAUAUCUGGAAGUAAUUAGGGGUUAGUGGAAUUUCCGGUGGAGCGGUAAAAUGUAUUGAUAUCGGAAAGAACGCCGAAAGCGAAAGCAGCUAACUAUAAUAUCUUGACAGUGAGGGAUGAAAGUUUGGGUAGCAAACG
rnacentral:rRNA from 1 species